GCCUCUUUCGCUAUUAUUAAUCGCGUAGGGAGGCAAAUUUUCCAAGAAGGAAAAACACUAAGGAUAGUGGUAAGGAUUUUCUCUAGGAAUGAGAAAAGGGACACCUCCAGGAAGGAGAGAGCAGCAAGUAUGGAUUGCUUGUUAUGCCAAUGAAGGCUAAAGGAUACGCAACGGAAUUGUGAAGCGGAAAUAAAUAGGGAUAGUUAUUUAAGUCAUUGGGAUUGCAGGGAGCAAUACAGGUUCACGGAUAUCGAGCCAUAUGACUAUCGAGGCGGCACUUUUAGUGCCGCCUCAACUUUUUGU
rnacentral:other from 1 species